AACGAACGCUGGCGGCGUGGAUAAGACAUGCAAGUCGGACGAGAUUUUCCGUUGUAGCAAUACGAUGGAAAGUCUAGUGGCGAACGGGUGCUUAACACGUGGGCAACCUGCCAUGAAGUGGGGGAUAGCUCGCCGAAAGGCGAAUUAAUACCGCAUGUGAUUAGAGAGGACAUCCUUUCGAAAUUAAAGUCGGGGCAACCUGAUGCUUCUUGUGGGGCCGGCGGCCUAUCAGCUAGUUGGUGAGGUAAUGGCUCACCAAGGCUUUGACGGGUAGCUGGUCUGAGAGGACGACCAGCCACACUGGGACUGAGACACGGCCCAGACACCUACGGGUGGCAGCAGUCGAGAAUUUUUGACAAUGGGGGAAACCCUGAUCGAGCGACGCCGCGUGGAGGAUGAAGGUCUUCGGAUUGUAAACUCCUGUCAUUGGGGAACAAGGUGCAUACGUUAACUGCGUGUGCAUUGAUAGUACCCGAAGAGGAAGAGACGGCUAACUCUGUGCCAGCCGCCGCCGUAACAC
rnacentral:rRNA from 1 species